UGGGUCUUAGCUCAGCGGUAGAGCACGGUCCUCAUAAGACCAAGGUCCCUGGUUCGAAUCCAGGAUGCCCAA
rnacentral:tRNA from 1 species